GGAAUUCUCAACCGUGUCUCGAUCUGAUCUCGAGGCAUGGCUUGGACUUGGGAGUUGCUGGCGGCCUCGUCAGCUCUCCUCAAACACAUUAUCGACGUUCAGCAAGCCUGACGUGCACGGCCUUUUUUCGACGUGAUAACGAUCGUCGUGGGCUGGAGCGUAGGGUGAGCGGUGAAUCGCUUCCAAUUCCUUAGACUUAUCAUGGUCUUUUCGAUCUCGAUCUUGAUGGGGGGGAAACUUUUGACCUUCGAGAGACCCGAGCCUUAGUUACUAGUCGGUCGUGAGGCCAACGAACGCAGGGCCUAGGUUUGAAACUUUGAAGCAAUCGCAAUUCCCUCUGUCUCGAUCCAGAAUCAUUUGAACUCUUGACCUCAAAUCAGGUAGGACUACCCGCUGAACUUAA
rnacentral:misc_RNA from 1 species